AAAUUAUUAUUAAGAUAUAAUUUAUUGAUUCAAAAUGACAAUUAAUGAUAAAAUUGUCAUCAUUUAACUUCAUCAUUCCAGUUAGAUUUAGGUUACAUUUCGAGAUGAGUUUCUUCAAUAAUAUACAACAAUGAAAAUUGUCUUUGAAUAGAAUUCCAACGGAGAAUGGAAUUGAAGAAUACAAAAUAAAGGUGAAGAGAUCCAGGAAGAUGUAGAUUUAUCGAGGAAAUGUACAAGAUGUAGCGCUCUGGAAAAUUUAAAAGAUCUCUCAAGAUGUUUCACUACCUUCACAUUCUUCUAUACGAGAUGGAAUUACAUGUGGAAUUCACGAUGACUUUUCAUAUCACUAUCAAUAAUAAGUUUCUUUGUAUCUAAUGACGAAUAUCGUAAAGAGAGAAUGAGCUACGUUAGUAGAGAUGGUAAAAUAUGGUCAGACAUCCAGCAGCUGAUAAUUUACCGACAUGGACUACUGUCGAUUCUCUUCAAGCACAGAAACUUUGAAAGGAAUACUGGCGCCAACUAGGUAGCCAAGGAAGGAAACCUAAAGAAAAUUAUCGAUUUUUUUCUUACAAAGAAAAUGCUUUCUGGCCAAAGAUAACAAAAGCAUCAGUUCUUAUCAAAUUACGAUAAAAAGAUUCUGCAAUUUGAUUCUAAAAUAAAAUAUAUAUUAUGUUGGAAAAUAUUUUACAUAAAAGAAAACUUAAAAGUUAACUAGGAAGGAAUUUUUAAUAAGAAUGUUAUAAUUAAUUUGAGAACA